UCCAAAACAUGCUGGAGGACAGGAAAUAAGAGAGAGAGAGAGGGAGAGAGAGGCUUCUCAAAAUAUCCAUCGACCUGCGCCCAGUAAAUGCUGACAUUUCCUUUAAAUGUAACUUUGUGGACUACUUAUGGAGUCAAUUUAACUAAAUAGAGCUUGCAAGCACGUGCACCAUUCAGGAAGAAAAGCGGUUGCAGAAGCGUGACAUGUUGCACUGCACUGUUUACAUAUGUGUGUUUGUGUGCAUGUACGUUACCUGUGUGAGGUUGUGUUCCUGUGGUUCAUCGAGAGGAUAUCUGCUGUUGUUUCUCACUUUUGUCCACAUGUUUCGGGUGUUAUGUGUCGUCUUGUGCUCAUGUCGAGUCGUUCCAGGGCGAUUUAGACAAACUAAAACCAAAAAGUCGCUAAUUUGCAAAAAUGGGCGGAGUAACAACAAUAGGUUGUGGGCGGAAAAGCAUACAAACCUUCCCGCCUGUAAUAUGUGUGUAAAUUGUUUACAUUACGGUAGUAAAUAUUUAUACUCAUAAACGGAUGUCCAUCUUAAGUCAUGAUGAAGUGUUCGGUUGGGACUAUUUUUAAAACAAGAUCAUAUCCACUUUAUUUGGGUUGUGUAAUCCUUUAAUCAGCUCGAUUUAUUUUAGAGUAAAAAUAAAGAGAACAAAUUAACACUCAUAAAUACCGCUUUUGAAUGGUAAUAAAUUAAUUAAUAUAGAUUGUUUUUAAUUUAUUGGGCGUGUUCGUUUUAAUGUGGCGCUGGGCAGACGGUGUAUGACAUCAAAGUAUCGCGAGAGCGCCACACUACCAAAGUGGAUUGUGGGAUUUACAGGAUGUAGUUUGUAGACAGAGCCAUCGACUCCCACAGUGAUCUUGAGUUCCUCUUGACAACGUCGUUCCCUCAUUAGGUUGAUGACGCCAGCGAGUCCAGCAGCGCACAUGUGAGCCGCUCGUGUUGACACACUCUCACAUGCCAGACGUACGAUGUCGCAGUCCAGCUCGGAUGCAGACCCACAACAUUAUUGCCCUCAGCACCAGAAGCCUUGAAGCCUUUUGUCCAGUUGAGCAGAAUGCCCUGCCACAAUGCAAACACACAACAGUACAUACGCGGUACCAGUCAUGGCGUCCUCUUGGAUGGAGUACAUAUGAUGUUUCGUUUCCACCUUCCAGCCACGCACUUCAUCCUCACCCACUUUCACCAGCAUCACCCGGAAGUUUGUUCCUCCAAGAUCCAGUGCCAGGAAAUCACCCACCUCUUGAGAUAAAUCAGAUUCAUCCAACAUCACAUU